GAUGAAGAACGUAGCGAAAUGCGAUAAGUAAUGUGAAUUGCAGAAUUCCGUGAAUCAUCGAAUCUUUGAACGCACAUUGCGCCCCCUGGUAUUCCGGGGGGCAUGCCUGUCCGAGCGUCAUUGCAACCUUCAAGCGCGACUUGUGUGUUGGGUCUCGUCCCCCGUGGACGGGCCCGAAAGGCAGUGGCGGCGUCCCGACAUGGUGCCCGAGCGUAUGGGAAUCCUCUUCCGCUCGAAUCGGCCCAUGCGGCGCUGGUCGUAACCAAAUUUUUUACCGGUUGACCUCGGAUCAGGUAGGGAUACCCGCUGAACUUAAGCAUAUCAAUAAGCGGAGGA
rnacentral:misc_RNA from 1 species